UACGAAGGGUGCUAGCGUUGUUCGGAAUCACUGGGCGUAAAGGGUACGUAGGCGGCUUAGUAAGUUGGUUGUGAAAGCCCCGAGCUCAACUCGGGAACUGCGACCAAAACUGCUUCGCUAGAGUUUAGAGGGGGAUGGCGGAAUUCCUAGUGUAGGGGUGAAAUCCGUAGAUAUUAGGAGGAAUAUCGGUGGCGAAGGCG
rnacentral:rRNA from 1 species